UGAGUCAAUGGGGCAAAAGCGAAGCAUAUAAAAACACUUGCUGAUGUUAUUGAUUGGUAUGAUAUUGAUUUACCAAAAUGUUAGUU